UGGAUCCAGACUUUGAUCAUGCUCAGGAUGAACGCUAGCUACAGGCUUAACACAUGCAAGUCGAGGGGAAACGAUAGAGAAAGCUUGCUUUUUCUAGGCGUCGACCGGCGCACGGGUGAGUAACGCGUAUCCAACCUGCCCAUCACUUGGGAUAACCUUGCGAAAGUAAGACUAAUACCCAAUGAUAUCUCUAGAAGACAUCUGAAAGAGAUUAAAGAUUUAUCGGUGAUGGAUGGGGAUGCGUCUGAUUAGCUUGUUGGCGGGGUAACGGCCCACCAAGGCGACGAUCAGUAGGGGUUCUGAGAGGAAGGUCCCCCACAUUGGAACUGAGACACGGUCCAAACUCCUACGGGAGGCAGCAGUGAGGAAUAUUGGUCAAUGGGCGAGAGCCUGAACCAGCCAAGUAGCGUGCAGGAUGACGGCCCUAUGGGUUGUAAACUGCCUUUAUAAGGGAAUAAAGUGAGAGUCGUGACUCUUUUUGCAUGUACCUUAUGAAUAAGGACCGGCUAAUUCCGUGCCAGCAGCCGCGGUAAUACGGAAGGUCCGGGCGUUAUCCGGAUUUAUUGGGUUUAAAGGGAGCGUAGGCCGGAGAUUAAGCGUGUUGUGAAAUGUAGAUGCUCAACAUCUGCACUGCAGCGCGAACUGGUUUCCUUGAGUACGCACAAAGUGGGCGGAAUUCGUGGUGUAGCGGUGAAAUGCUUAGAUAUCACGAAGAACUCCGAUUGCGAAGGCAGCUCACUGGAGCGCAACUGACGCUGAAGCUCGAAAGUGCGGGUAUCGAACAGGAUUAGAUACCCUGGUAGUCCGCACGGUAAACGAUGGAUGCCCGCUGUUGG
rnacentral:rRNA from 1 species